GAUGAACGCUGGCGGCGUGCCUAAUACAUGCAAGUCGAGCGAACGGACGAGAAGCUUGCUUUUCUGAUGUUAGCGGCGGACGGGUGAGUAACACGUGGAUAACCUACCUAUAAGACUGGGAUAACUUCGGGAAACCGGAGCUAAUACCGGAUAAUAUUUUGAACCGCAUGGUUCAAAAGUGAAAGACGGUCUUGCUGUCACUUAUAGAUGGAUCCCCGCUGCAUUAGCUAGUUGGUAAGGUAACGGCUUACCAAGGCAACGAUGCAUAGCCGACCUGAGAGGGUGAUCGGCCACACUGGAACUGAGACACCGUCAUGACUCCUACGGGAGGCAGCAGUAGGGAAUCUUCCGCAAUGGGCGAAAGCCUGACGGAGCAACGCCGCGUGAGUGAUGAAGGUCUUCGGAUCGUAAAACUCUGUUAUUAGGGAAGAACAUAUGUGUAAGUAACUGUGCACAUCUUGACGGUACCUAAUCAGAAAGCCACGGCUAACUACGUG
rnacentral:rRNA from 1 species